rfam:Cricetulus griseus cell line CHO-K1, whole genome shotgun sequence.
GCAUUGGUGGUUCAAUGGUAGAAUUCUCGCCUCCCACUUGAGAGACCCAGGUUCAAUUCCUGGCCAAUGUG